ACUCAAAGGAAUUGACGGGGGCCCGCACAAGCGGUGGAGCAUGUGGUUUAAUUCGACGCAACGCGAAAAACCUUACCUGCGCUUGAAUCCUGCGAAGGACGCUGAGAGGUGUCUGUGCCGAAAGGAACGCAGAGACAGGUGCUGCAUGGCUGUCGUCAGCUCGUGUCGUGAGAUGUUAGGUUAAGUCCUGUAACGAGCGCAACCCUUAUGCUUAAUUGCCAGCACGUAGAGGUGGGAACAUUAAGGAGACUGCCGGUGAUAAGCCGGAGGAAGGUGGGGACGACGUCAAGUCAUCAUGGCCUUUAUGCGCAGGGCGACACACGUGCUACAAUGGUUGGUACAGAGGGAAGCGAAGCCGAGAGGUGGAGCGGAACCGGGAAAGCCAAUCGUAGUCCGGAUUGGAGUCUGAAACUCGACUUCAUGAAGUUGGAAUCGCUAGUAAUCGCGGAUCAGCAUGCCGCGGUGAAUACGUUACGGGCCUUGUACACACCGCCCGU
rnacentral:rRNA from 1 species